rnacentral:rRNA from 1 species
AACGCGAAGAACCUUACCUGGGCUCGAACGGCUUCGGACAAUCUGUGGAAACACGGACUUCCCGCAAGGGACUGGAGUCGAGGUGCUGCAUGGCUGUCGUCAGCUCGUGUCGUGAGAUGUUGGGUUAAGUCCCGCAACGAGCGCAACCCUUGUCCUGUGUUGGCAUGCCGAAAGGCGCAACUCUCAGGAGACCGCCAGCGAUAAGCUGGAGGAAGGUGGGGAUGACGUCAAGUCCUCAUGGCCUUUAUGUCCAGGGCCACACACGUGCUACAAUGGGCGGUACAAAGCGUCGCCAACCCGCGAGGGGGAGCUAAUCGCCAAAAACCGUUCUCAGUUCGGAUCGCAGGCUGCAACUCGCCUGCGUGAAGCUGGAAUCGCUAGUAAUGGCGUAUCAGAAUGAUGCCGUGAAUACGUUCCCGGGUCUUGUACACACGC